UCAUAAAAUUUGAUGUUUUUGAUCCAUUGUUAAUGUCAGUAGUACUCUUUCCAUUUCUUACACCAAUAUAUGAGAUGUUAAAUGUCUCCAGAUUCCCAAAGGAUUC